rnacentral:rRNA from 1 species
AUUGAACGCUGGCGGCGUGCCUAAUACAUGCAAGUCGAGCGAAGCGGGGACGGGUGAGUAAGACGUGGAUAACUUCCUAUAAGACUGGGAUAACUUCGGGAAACCGGAGCUAGACGGGAUACUCAUCGAUGGUUCCGCGCUGUAUUAGCUAGUUGGUAAGGUAACGGCUUACCAAGGCAACGAUGCAUAGCCGACCUGAGAGGGGGAUCGGCCACACUGGAACUGAGACACGGUCCAGACUCCUACGGGAGGCAACAGUAGGGAAUCUUCCGCAAUGGGCGAAAGCCGGACGGAGCAACGCCGCGUGAGUGAUGAAGGUCUUCGGAUCGUAAAACUCUGUUAUUAGGGAAGCGGUACCUAAUCAGAAAGCCACGGCUAACUACGUGCCAGCAGCCGCGGUAAUUC